rnacentral:rRNA from 1 species
UACGAAGGGGGCUAGCGUUGCUCGGAAUCACUGGGCGUAAAGCGCACGUAGGCGGGUCGUUAAGUCGGGGGUGAAAUCCUGGAGCUCAACUCCAGAACUGCCUUCGAUACUGGCGAUCUUGAGUCUGGGAGAGGUGAGUGGAACUCCGAGUGUAGAGGUGAAAUUCGUAGAUAUUCGGAAGAACACCAGUGGCGAAGGCGGCUCACUGGCCCGGUACUGACACUGAGGCGCGAAAGCGUGGGGAGCGAACAGG